rnacentral:lncRNA from 1 species
AAGCUUAUCGUUUUUUCUUUUUUAGUCAACAUUAACUUCAUUAGAUCAGAUUAAGUAGGGGUGGAUGAGAGUCUCUCUCUUUCUUCUCUCUCAAAUAUUUUUCAGAGAGAGAGAGACUAUUAUCUUUGAUCCCGUUAACAUGGCUUCUCCGUUGCCAUGUUCUUGCCGUCGACAUGGCUUUCCCGUUGCCAUGUUCUUGCCGUCUACAUGGCUUUUCCGUUGCCGUGUAUUUGCCGUCGACAUGGCUUUCCCGUUGCCGUGUUCUUUUGCCGUCACCUUUGUUAGGUGUUGUUUGUUUGCUUUCAAUAAAGGGGAUUUGUCUUUCGUCUCUGUUUCUUACAGAGUUUCAUGAGAUGACACACCUCUCUUCUAUGUUCAUACAAGUUUUUUAUGUUCGUUAGAUUUGAAGCGAAGCUUUACCAUCUUAUGAUAAAUCAGAUCAAUUUAGAACCAUUGGAUCUACGGUUGAUUUGUUUAUACAAAUAGCAUAUGUUGGUGGCUUUUCUCCGGAUCGUUUUGUUGGGUAUACGGUUUACAAAAAUUUCAGGGAUAAUUUGCGAAGAAAGUUGAAGAAAAGAAGAAUUUUCCUUCGCGAUUUUAAGAUGCCUUUCAGCCGUGAUUACAAUUGUUUGGAGUUUCGAUUCGUCUUUGGUGAAAAUCAGAAGAAUCAAUGGUCGAAUUAUAGUUAUCGGCGACGAUUUUCUUCACCGGAAUAGAAUCUCAGACGGCGGAGGUUGAUGUCGGAAAGCUUUUAGAAUUUUCAUCCAACACGUGUACGACUUGUUGACACGUUUAUUUGGUGAACGACCACUGAUAAACAUUUCUUCAUCUUUAAGUAAUAUAUCUGUAUGGGCCUUGUAGGGCUGUAAUCUGUUGUAGCUCAUUUGUUAUGAAUAAAAUUAUAAUUAAGAGAAAAAAAAAAAAAGAUAACAAGCUUAUCUGCUAGCAAGCAAAUUCCCUUUUUU